rnacentral:tRNA from 1 species
AACCCAAGGGAGGGGUUCCUUUUGGACACAGACGGUCGCAGGUUCGAAUCCUGCAGGGG